UACGGAGGAGGCAAGCGUUAUUCGGAAUUAUUGGGCGUAAAGCGUCCGUAGGUGGCUCUUCAAGUCUGCUGUCAAAGAGUGGGGCUUAACCCUGCAAAUGCAGUGGAAACUGAAAGGCUAGAGAGCCGUAGGGGUAGAGGGAAUUCCCGGUGUAGCGGUGAAAUGCGUAGAGAUCGGGAGGAAGGCCGGUGGCGAAGGCGGCGCUCUGGAACGUUACUGACGCUGAGACACGAAAGCGUGGGGAGCAAACAGG
rnacentral:rRNA from 1 species